rnacentral:rRNA from 1 species
UGGGGAAUUUUGGACAAUGGGCGCAAGCCUGAUCCAGCAAUGCCGCGUGAGUGAAGAAGGCCUUCGGGUUGUAAAGCUCUUUUGUCAGGGAAGAAAAGGUAGAGGCUAAUAUCCUUUGCUAAUGACGGUACCUGAAGAAUAAGCACCGGCUAACUACGUGCCAGCAGCCGCGGUAAUACGUAGGGUGCAAGCGUUAAUCGGAAUUACUGGGCGUAAAGCGUGCGCAGGCGGUUUUGUAAGUCUGUCGUGAAAUCCCCGGGCUCAACCUGGGAAUUGCGAUGGAGACUGCAAGGCUAGAAUCUGGCAGAGGGGGGUAGAAUUCCACGUGUAGCAGUGAAAUGCGUAGAGAUGUGGAGGAACACCGAUGGCGAAGGCAGCCCCCUGGGUCAAGAUUGACGCUCAUGCACGAAAGCGUGGGGAGCAAACA